rnacentral:lncRNA from 1 species
CCAGGUGCUGAUGGAGGUCAGGGAGCAGCUACCGAGGCCGAAAAGGAUGCGCUCACACCCCGAGAAGUGCAACCCAAAUAAAUUUUGCCUCUAUCAUCAUGACCACGGCUACGACACGGAGGAAUGCAUUCAGCUCCGAGAUGAAAUUGAGGAGCUCAUCAGGCGGGGUCGGCUCGACAGAUUCAUCCGACGUCGGCCUGAAGGUAGGGAGGAUCGAUCGAGGGCCCUGCCACAAUCGGAGCUACCA